ensembl:lncRNA
UUAUUUAUUUUUAUUUUUCUCAGACUUGUUUCUAUAUUGCAAUUGUGAGUUAUUAAUUCCUAGAUGUAAAGAAGAGAGAGAUAAACAAGUUUAUAACCAGCAGCUGUGAGAAAUACAUUUGCAACUGCAAGAAUGAAUGAAUGAAUGAAAACAUUUUUAUUUUGUGGCAGAAAAAAAAAAUAAAAAAAUCCUUCCUAAUAUAGUUACAGAUUCGGUUUGGCUCCACACAAGCAAGAAAGUAAAGCAAGUUUGGAUUCCGAACGACAUAAGGCUGCACAAAUACAGUGAUUAAAUACAUUUUUCAAUUUUUUGAUGAACCAUCCCUUGGGAAACUAGGCUAUAGGCUAUGCUUUUGAAUACUAGGCUAUGGCGAAUAGUGUUGUGGCAUAAUUUCACUUUAUAAUAUUGUCAAUAAACAUAUUUUGCUCCCAAAAGUGAGCUCUUAUCCUAAAACAGAGAUGGGGAAGUUAAAAUGUAAGUGUCAUUCCACCCCAGCCUGUAACGUCUUUCCUCAGGACAGUGUGGGAGGAGAGAGAGAGAGAGAGAGAGAGAGAGAGAGAGAGAGAGAGAGAGAGAGAGGGGUGGCGUGAACAGAUCAUUACCAGCGCAGUUUUGCUCUGUAAACAUCUCUCGGAGAUCAAUCGGCGAACUCUUGUUUUUCGCUUUCACGAAGUAUGAUGAUAUGAUACGCGGCGACGUGGAUGUAUAUUUGGGGCUUUUCUUUUUUCUUUACUUUUUUUUUCCCCCACGGAGUUUACCGUCUCCUUGAAAAAGUGGAUUUUGCAAAUGUGAAUUUGGUGUAAAUUAGAGGUUUAAACGAGGGCUUAGCCUUGAAGAAGCUUCGGUAAAAAAAAAAAAAAAAAAAAAAAAAAAAAAAGUAGUGAGCGCGGACACUGAGCUCUCCAAACGGGAGUCAGUAUGCUGUCCGGAGGAGCCGCGGGCGGAGAGGAGCUCGGAACCGAUUUGGUAGAACAGCAUGUUACGGGAAUGGCGUUGGAUCUGUACAUCCAGUCUAUUCCACCGAGCGCAUGAAGAACAAGAAGAGAGGGCAAAUGUUCUGUGUGCUUCAGGUAUACGGAUACAAUCAUGUUUGAUAAGGUCUCUGGACCCAAAUGUCACAUCUUCUGGAAACAGCUUGGGCUGAGGCCCAUCAGCACUUGACAGCAGGCUGGGAGGUGGACGAUGUGGCUCAGUGCUUCAGCACUCUUUUAGUCACACCCUGCUUGGGCCCUGCAGUGAGCGAGAGCAGUCCUGCAAUGAUCUGAUUCCUCAGCAUGGAUAGCUUAAGUGGGAGAACCCAUGCACUCUAAGGAGACCACCUCUCCAGACAAGGGCUAGAAAUGAUCAAGGGAUUACUCAAAUUCCUGGUUUAUCUGCAAACUGCAUGUUAAAAUAAUCUUUUGAGGACUUAAUUUUGCUGGAUUUCUUUUUAACUCCCUCCAUCCACUAAUUUUGUCUUACAAUUUCCUUUC